GGACCUAGAAUCAGGUGCCGAGCAGCUCCGAUACAAAUCGUGCGCCUCACCUCCGCACGGACUCGCUUGUGUGGGCCAACGCUUCCUCGCCUCCUCGCAGCUUCGCGAACAACCUUCCGCCUCGUCCGGUUCCAUCCUUUACUGGUCCUGGUCCAAGGUUGCAUAUCCACUGUUUGUUUAUUUGCCUCAAUUUUAAAAAUAUAUAUUUACUUUUUUUUUGGUUUAAAUAAAACAAAUUUUGGUUUAUAUAGCCUCAGGUAGAAGUGAAGAGCUUACCAGCUGAGCCGAUUAAGCCGAUUGCUGCUAAUAGCCACGGCACCUAUAUUGCUGGUGGGGGUCAAUCGGGAGAUAUCUACAUGUGGGAGGUAAAGUCGAGCUUGAGCUUUAG
rnacentral:lncRNA from 1 species